rnacentral:sRNA from 1 species
UUGGCGUUGGGAUUCUUUUCCUUGGUGGUUUCUUCCAUUUGAACCGUGUAUUCUUAAGAUGUUCCCCAGCAAAGGCGUUCAGGAUGAUGUCAAUGAUAUUUGGAUUGCACAGAAAACGGCCAUAAAUAGGGUAAUUAGCAAUAUAUGAAUUAGCUGGUACGUAGGGCAUACAAGGACAUUGUACAGGACAACUCUACCCACCCUCUGCAAAACCAACAUAACCGUCGUGGUUCAUGCAAUGUAAAGUAAGAACUCAACUGGCACAUAUCUAGCUGGGACCAUCCAUUUCACCUCCAUCCAGCUAGAAAUCCUCCCAAAAAGUAGGAAAAGAAGACAAAGAAA